rnacentral:rRNA from 1 species
GACAGAGGGGGCAAGCGUUGCUCGGAAUUACUGGGCGUAAAGGGUGCGUAGGCGGUUCGUUAAGUCUGUUGUGAAAUCCCCGGGCUCAACCUGGGAAUGGCAAUGGAUACUGGCGGGCUAGAGUGUGUCAGAGGAUGGUGGAAUUCCCGGUGUAGCGGUGAAAUGCGUAGAGAUCGGGAGGAACAUCAGUGGCGAAGGCGGCCAUCUGGGACAACACUGACGCUGAAGCACGAAAGCGUGGGGAGCAAACAGG